rnacentral:tRNA from 1 species
UUGAUAGAAGCUAAAAGCAUUUUACUGUUAAUAAAAAGUAGAGAAAUCCUAUCAAU